rnacentral:pre_miRNA from 1 species
AGUGGGAUAACUGGGUCAAAUGGUAGUUUCACUUCAGUUUUUCUGAGGAAUCUUCAUACUUCUUUCCAUAGUGGUUGUACCAAUUUGUAGUCCCACAGCUAU